rnacentral:rRNA from 1 species
CUACGGGAGCAGCAGUGAGGAAUAUUGCACAAUGGGGGAAACCCUGAUGCAGCAACGCCGCGUGGAGGAUGACGCAUUUCGGUGUGUAAACUCCUUUUAUCAGAGAAGAAAAUGACGGUAUCUGAUGAAUAAGCUCCGGCUAACUCCGUGCCAGCAGCCGCGGUAAUACGGAGGGAGCAAGCGUUAUUCGGAAUCACUGGGCGUAAAGGACGCGUAGGCGGGUUUUUAAGUCAGGUGUGAAAUCCUAUGGCUCAACCAUAGAACUGCACUUGAAACUGGGGACCUAGAGUAUGGAAGGGGCAGGUGGAAUUAGUGGUGUAGGGGUAAAAUCCGUAGAUAUCACUAGGAAUACCGAAAGCGAAGGCGACCUGCUGGGACAUUACUGACGCUGAGGCGUGAAAGCGUGGGGAGCAAACAGGAUUAGAUACCCCUGUAGUC